CCUACGGGUGGCAGCAGUGGGGAAUAUUGGGCAAUGGGCGCAAGCCUGACCCAGCAACGCCGCGUGAAGGAAGAAGGCCCUCGGGUUGUAAACUUCUUUUAUCAAGGACGAAACAAAUGACGGUACUUGAUGAAUAAGCCACGGCUAACUACGUGCAAGCAGCCGCGGUAAUACGUAGGUGGCAAGCGUUAUCCGGAUUUACUGGGUGUAAAGGGUGUGAGGCGGGACUGCAAGUCAGAUGUGAAAACCAUGGGCUCAACCAAGGGCCUGCAUUUGAAACUGUCGUUCUUGAGUGUUGGAGAGGCAGGCGGAAUUCCGGGUGUAGCGGUGAAAUGCGUAGAUAUUAGGAAGAACACCAGUGGCGAAGGCAGCUUACUGGACAGUAACUGACGUUGAGGCUCGAAAGCGUGGGGAGCAAACAGGAUUAGAUACCCGAGUAGUC
rnacentral:rRNA from 1 species